ensembl:lncRNA
CCGCGGCAGCUGGCCACUGCCGGGAAGCAGCACCGUGGUCACCGGAGCCUGCACACGGACCCUUUGCACCGAAGCUGCCCGCAGCAGCUGGCUGCAGCCAGCGUGGAGAGCGCAUCCGAGAGGCUGCAAAGGUUGCAACACCUGCAGCUCGGGCCGGCCGCCCCCCCGCCGGCCCUCGCCCCCGCGGCCGUCSCCAGCCCCCGCGGGCUUGUCCCCUCCCGGAGGGGCCCCUGCCCUGGGCUCUCCGCUCUGCUCAUCCGCCGGGGGCAGGAGCCCAGGCUCCGGCUGGCCUCGGGCAUCCCAUACAGUGCAGGACGGUUCUUCCCCUGCCAGACAGGCCACUGCUCGCGUGUCGCGUCCUGCUGGGAGCCUCGCUGGCGUCGCCUUGCCAGGCUGCAGCGCCGGGGCCGCGGGAGGCUCUGGGGCACCCGGAGCCGAGCCGCAGGCAGGAUUUGUCGGAGGAGAUUUGCAUCGAGAAGGGCCUUCUCGGAAGCCGGCUUUCGGCUCGUGUUUUGCUCUCUGCAGCCCUUUGUCCAGGAAAGGAGGCGCCAGGAAGUGGGACCUGUUAUCUCUGGUUUCCCACAGCGAUGUGCUCGGCUCUCGAGCGCGGGCCUGCCGGGGCUGAGGGCAGCCGGGGCUGUUUGCUCUCUUCACCUGCAGUUUGUUUCGUUCGGGGAACCGGAGCGGCUGCCGGGGCCGCACGCCACGCUUGCCGCGUGGUGCAGCUGCUGCAGCUGCAGCCCGGGCUGGGGCUCACUUUCACUUGCGCAGGGCCCCAGUGGGACCUGCUGGGGUUCGUCUGAGCCAGCCGGCUGCGACCGGGGCCUCCCUUUCCCGGCACAGACCGAGGGGGAGCCCCCCGCGCCGAGCGGCUGCUGGGCUGGUCCCCGCGGGCGCAGGGGAUGCUCCCAGCCGCCUCCUGCCCGGGCGCAUCCCUGCUCGCCCGGCCGCCGCCUGGCACCCGCCGCUGCGCCCGGCCCCGGCUCCACGUGCGCCCCCAGCCCGGCAAGGCACAGGGAGGGUGCUCUGCAGCGCCGUGCUGGCACCGCUUGUCGCGGGAUCCCGGAGCCCUGGCAGCCAGCGCUGGGGGCAUCAGGAGCCGCAGCCUGGCCGGCGCAGGCGCCCAAGCUGCGCUCGGCGGUUCUGGGAAAACGCAGGAGAAAUGCACCGGCUUCUGCAGAAGGGGAUGGGUCUGCGCGGGGCUGGCGCACCUGCGGUCUCGCUACUACGGCUUCUCCGGCAGCUGCUUCCCGCUGCGGGGCGCCGAGCCCUGCGCCCCCGCAGAGGCUGCAGCGGGGCGGCCCCUGGACGAGCCCCCUUCCCCUUCCCCUGUGCUGUGGACGGGGCGGAUUCCCAGGYCAGGGCAGAUUCCCGGGCCGGGGCGUGGUGCCUGGGAGUGGGACAGGCAAAGGGUGUCCGGAGCCGUGCCCAGCGUGGGGCCGCGGGAGCCCUCGCCCCUGCGGCAGCCCUGGGGCCGCUUGCUGCACAGCUGCCGGGCGAGCGGCGAGGGCUGUGCUUGGCGGCCGCGUUGGGGGAAGAGCUGCCAGCCCAGAGGUGACGUUUCAGUUCCUGCUCCGAAUGUUUCCCCCCCUUAACAAGAAACCCCUCUGCUCUCGCUCCGAAACCGCGUUUCUGCAGCGGGUGCAAACAGAGAAACCCCAGCCCUGCCCCUGCCGGCGGGACACAUCCCGUGGGGACGGUCCCCGUGCCGGCCCCGUGGGACCCGCUCGCGGCUGGGGCACCUGCGGGCUCUGCUGCACGGGGAGCACCUGCCCCACGCCGGGACGCCGGCUCACCGUGGCCCCGUCCCCGCCGCGGGCAGGGGUGUCCCCGCCGUGCGCCCCCACCUGCCCCCGCGGUGGCCGCCGGCAGCCGGCAGCGCAGGGGACCUCCGGAGGCUUCCUGCGUGCCGGCGCCUGGGCCUGGGAACAGGAACCUCCCGCGCGCGGGCGGUUGUGCAAGGCGGAGGGACGCACUCCCACCGCUCCCUCGCACACACCCGGGCAGGGCACAAGCAGCCCGACUUCCCUCUGGCYGUUUCGAAAUUCCACCGCUCUUACAGAAAAGCCCCUGGGCAGAAUUCCUGCAAUGCAGUGA